CAAAGCUCAGCGUCAGGCUUUCCAUGUGGAAGCACGCACCUUGUACCCAGCUUCUUCUGACUGCAAGGGCAACAGAGGCACGUUCCUGGCGAGGGAGAGCGGCUGCUGCCCAAACGCCACAUGGAAGCCCCUGGCGGCUCCACGAAUGCAUGUCACAACCACAGGGCAGGGGCCGAGGCUGUUGCUCAAGACCCCAGCUUCCUGCAGAGAGUGGGACUGGCAGGACAGUGUCCAGGGGCACAGGGGAGGAGCCCCGGAUCUGCGCAACGGGCUGGGGCUGUGUGACCUGAGCAAGGACCCCUCCUCUUAGCCUCGGUUCUCCGGUCUGCACAGCUGCGGCCUGACAGAGGCCCCAGGUGCUGCCUGUGGCUCCUCCCAACCCCGAGACCUUCCCACCAAAAACACACUCAGGAGAAUGCUUUGCCCAGAAGGUGCCUGGGCUGCAGGUGGCCUUUGAGGGCCCCCCUUCCUGAGCCUCUGGCCCCCAGCCCCGACACACAGAUCUCUGUCCCAGCAAGCCUGGUCCCAGUCAUUUAGCCAAAGAGCGUUUGCUGAGUGAAUAAACAAUGGAGCAGGUCCAGGCUCGGGCCAAGAUUCAGCCCUGCCCAGCUACACAUGCCAAGACCCUCCUGGGGGCAGACAGCCUAGCCCUCAUCCCCUGCCACCUCCUGCUGCUCCCAGAGAUGGGGGCUGUUCUCCAUCUCAGGCCCUAUCACCCGGGGCCUCAGAGGCCCGGCUGGCAGCAGCACCUGGGGUCUGGGGGCUUCCUGCCCUGCACUGGCCGCUCCCCCACAGUGGCCCUGGCCACAUCCCCCCAGGGGCCUGAACAGGCGGGGGGAGGGUCAGUGCCCAUACGAGGGCUAUCCAGGGACCCCAUCUGGUGGCCAGGCCCCUGGGCAGUGAGAGCCUCGGAGGGCCCAAAGAGGCAGCUCUGCUGGCCUUUCCCAGGGACACAGAGGGGGACUGGACUGAAGCCAGGGCCCAGGGGCCGCCCUGAGUCACGUCUGACUCAGCCGGCGGGCGGGGGAUGCCACGGCUCUGGCCCAGCUGCAUUCGGUGUCCGGGCACACUGAGGCCACUGGGGACAGCCUCGGGGGCCUGCACGGUGGGCUGUGCCUGCCCAGUCCCACGCCUCAGCUCCCCAUCCCCGAGCCGCCCGGGCCUCAGUUUCCCCGCCCGUGUCGGCGCGCAGCCGAACAGCAGAAGGGUCAAAGGGCGCCAGGCAGGACUUACAUGAGGCGCGCCCGCCGCGCGGCGGAACCGCCCUCCGACACCUUCCCGCGGCUGUGCCGCUACCGCCCGGCCGGCGGGACAGACGCUGGGACCGCUACGACCCCGCCAGACCCACGGCGCCCAGCCCCAGCUGACCCGGACUGAGGGCGACGAGUGCCGGGUCCCUAAGAGAAGCCGAGCCCGGCCCCGCCCCCGCCGGCCCCGCCUCCUUGUAGGCCCCGCCCCCAGCCGCCAAGUCCUGCCUCCGGAUAGGCCCCGUCCUCACACCUCCCAGCCCCGGCAUAGGCUCCCGCCCCNNNNN
rnacentral:lncRNA from 1 species